rnacentral:rRNA from 1 species
AUUGAACGCUGGCGGCAUGCCUUACACAUGCAAGUCGAACGGCAGCACGGGAGCAAUCCUGGUGGCGAGUGGCGAACGGGUGAGUAAUGUAUCGGAACGUGCCCAGUCGUGGGGGAUAACGUAGCGAAAGCUACGCUAAUACCGCAUACGAUCUGUGGAUGAAAGCGGGGGACCGUAAGGCCUCGCGCGAUUGGAGCGGCCGAUAUCAGAUUAGGUAGUUGGUGGGGUAAAGGCCUACCAAGCCGACGAUCUGUAGCGGGUCUGAGAGGACGACCAUCCACACUGGGAAUGAGACACGGCCCAGACUCCUACGGGAGGCAGCAGUGUGUAAUUUUGGACAAUGGGCGCAAGCCUGAUCCAGCAAUGCCGCGUGCAGGAUGAAGGCCUUCGGGUUGUAAACUGCUUUUGUACGGAGCGAAAAGGCUCUCUCUAAUACAGGGGGCUCAUGACGGUACCGUAAGAAUAAGCACCGGCUAACUACGUGCCAGCAGCCGCCGUAA